GUAAGUUAUUAAGGGCACACGGUGGAUGCCUUGGCAUUAAGAGCCGAUGAAGGACGUGUGAAUCUGCGAUAAGCCUCGGGGAGCCGAUAACUGGGCUGUGAUCCGAGGAUUUCCGAAUGGGGAAACCUGGCUCAUCUUCAUGGUGAGUUACCGCCAGCUGAAUGUAUAGGCUGGUUGGGGGGAACGCGGGGAAGUGAAACAUCUCAGUACCCGCAGGAAGAGAAAAUAAAGUAAUGAUUCUGUGAGUAGUGGCGAGCGAAAGCGGAAGAGACUAAACCUGUGGUGUGUGAUAGCGGUUAGGCGUUGCAUCAUGGGGGUUGUGGGAGUCACAGUGGCAGUUCUAACUGGCUGCCGGCAUGAUGUUCAGGAUGGUAGGUGAACGACUUGGAAUGGUCGGCCGUAGAGGGUGAGAGUCCCGUAAUCGAAAUUGUUCUGUCCGUGGUGUGGCCACCCGAGUAGCACGGGGCUCGUGGAAUCUCGUGUGAAUCUGCCAGGACCACCUGGUAAGUCUAAAUACUUCUUAAUGACCGAUAGUGAAUCAGUACCGUGAGGGAAUGGUGAAAAGUACCCCGGGAGGGGAGUGAAAUAGUACCUGAAACCGUGUGCUUACAAGCCGUUGGAGCCUUUUGGGGUGACAGCGUGCCUUUUGAAGAAUGAGCCUGCGAGUUAGUGUUAUGUCGCGAGGUUAACCCGUGUGGGGUAUCCGUAGCGAAAGCGAGUCUGAAUAGGGCGUUUGAGUGGCAUGACCUAGACCCGAAGCGGAGUGAUCUAUCCAUGGCCAGGUUGAAGCGACGGUAAGACGUCGUGGAGGACCGAACCCACUUCAGUUGAAAAUGGAGGGGAUGAGCUGUGGAUAGGGGUGAAAGGCCAAUCAAACUCUGUGAUAGCUGGUUCUCCCCGAAAUGCAUUUAGGUGCAGCGUUACGUGUUUCUUGCCGGAGGUAGAGCUACUGGAUGGCCGAUGGGCCUUCACGGGUUACUGACGUCAGCUAAACUCCGAAUGCCGGUAAGUGAGAGCGUAGCAGUGAGACAGUGGGGGAUAAGCUUCAUUGUCGAGAGGGAAACAGCCCAGACCACCAACUAAGGCCCCUAAGCGUGUGCUAAGUGGGAAAGGAUGUGAUCAAGGGUUCCAGGGUCAAGUUAAUCUGCCCUGGGUUAGUCGGGGCCUAAGGCGAGGCCGACAGGCGUAGUCGAUGGAUAACGGGUUGAUAUUCCCGUACCGGUGAAAAACCGCCCAUACUGAUAUUGUGAUGCUAACCAUGCGAAGCAUGAUGUGCAGGCUUUUGUUUGUGUGUUGUGUGGGUUGUGGGACCCGAUCUUUGGAGGUAAACGUGUUAACAGGUGUGACGCAGGAAGGUAGCCAAGCCACGCGAUGGUUGUCGUGGUCUAAGCGUGUAGGGUUGUCGGUUGUUAAAUGCGCCGGCUGUGUGCCUGAGACGUGAUGGGACCCCGUUUUUGGGGGAUUUGGUGAUCCUAUGCUGCCGAGAAAAGCAUCGGCGUGAGGUUUUAGCCGCCCGUACCCUAAACCGACACAGGUGAUCAGGUAGAGAAUACUAAGGCGAUCGAGAGAAUCAUGGUUAAGGAACUCGGCAAAAUGCCCCCGUAACUUCGGGAGAAGGGGGACCUUGAGCGUGAUGGGCACUUGCUGCCUGGAGCGUGUAUGGGUCGCAGAGACCAGGGGGAAGCGACUGUUUAUCAAAAACACAGGUCCGUGCGAAGUCGUAAGACGAUGUAUACGGACUGACUCCUGCCCGGUGCUGGAAGGUUAAGAGGAUUGGUUAGCUCUUUUGGGCGAAGCUGAGAAUUUAAGCCCCAGUAAACGGCGGUGGUAACUAUAACCAUCCUAAGGUAGCGAAAUUCCUUGUCGGGUAAGUUCCGACCUGCACGGAUCUGGUUCAGGGACAGUGCCUGAUGGGUAGUUUAACUGGGGCGGUUGCCUCCUAAAGUGUAACGGAGGCGCCCAAAGGUUCCCUCAGCCUGGUUGGCAAUCAGGUGUUGAGUGUAAGUGCACAAGGGAGCUUGACUGUGAGACUGGCAGGUCGAGCAGGGACGAAAGUCGGGACUAGUGAUCCGGCGGUACGUUGUGGAACGGCCGUCGCUCAACGGAUAAAAGGUACCUCGGGGAUAACAGGCUGAUCUUGCCCAAGAGUCCAUAUCGACGGCAUGGUUUGGCACCUCGAUGUCGGCUCGUCGCAUCCUGGGGCUGGAGUCGGUCCCAAGGGUUGGGCUGUUCGCCCAUUAAAGCGGUACGCGAGCUGGGUUCAGAACGUCGUGAGACAGUUCGGUCCCUAUCCGCUGCGCGCGUUGGAAAUUUGAGAAAGGCUGUCCUUAGUACGAGAGGACCGGGACGGACGAACCUCUGGUAUGUCAGUUGUACCGCCAGGUGCAUGGCUGAUUGGCUACGUUCGGGAGGGAUAACCGCUGAA
rnacentral:rRNA from 1 species